AUGACAUCAUCAUUCUAAGAACAUUCUCAAGAAGCAUCUUCUCUCUCAUCAAAUAUUAUUUGAAUAAUAUUUGAUCUGAUUUUUUAAAGACUAACGGCUAGUCUUUGGCAACACUCCAACUUGCUUGGAGACCACGAAACAAAGGACAAACAACAUCUAUAAAUAGCACACUUGGGUGCUUUGAAGAUUCAAGAGUUUCAACUACAAAUUUCAACAUCUACACUUGUCUUUUUCGACCAAGUCAUUAAACUCUUCCACUCUCACUCCAGCUCUCUAACAUCACAUACUUGGAUCAGUAU
rnacentral:lncRNA from 1 species